rnacentral:lncRNA from 1 species
AGGAUCAAAAGAAACUUGAAAGGUAUCACAGUGGUGAAGAAACAAAAGUGUAUUCCUCAAACAGGGCCAGGCAAACGACAGGUCAAGGCAGGCAGGGGUCAAUAAUCCAGAGAGGGUGUAAGGUACAGGACAGCAGGCGGGCUCAGUGUCAGGUCAGGCAGAGGUCGGUAAUCCAGAGUAGAGGGGCAAAGGUACAGGACGGCAGGCAGGUUCAGGGUCAGGACAGGCAGAAGGGCCAAAGCCGGGAAAAACUAGACAACAGGAACUUAGACAAUAUAGGAGCAAGGGGGGAAACGCUGGUAGGUUCAACGAACAAAACGAACUGGCAACAGACAAACAGAGAACGCAGGUAUAAAUACACAGGGGAUAAUGGGGAAGAUGGACGACACCUGGAGGGGGGUGGAGACAAGCACAAAGAUAGGUGAAACAGAUCAGGGCGUGACAAAAGGAGCAAAGCCCAGGUAAAAAGCUAGAGGAAAACCUGCCUCAGUCUUCUGAAAACCCUGGAAUAGAGUUUUAUUUCCACAACACAAUUGCACAUAUUUGAAUGUCAAAGAUACACCACAAUGGCUUUCCAAGAGGUGUUGAGUGUUCCUGAACAUCCAUUCUUUGUCCUGAUUAAAAUCUGCAUAAAUCUUUUUAGCCAAAAUGUGAAUUUUGCUAUCCAUCAAUGAUUCCCAACCAUAUUUAUGGAGGUUGAGCAGUUUUGACAAAAACAAUAGAUAUAUGUUCCCCUAAAAGUGCAAGGUGUGUUGGUAGAAUCCUAUUCAAAAUUAUUCACAGCUGUAAUGGCUGCCAAAUGCGCUUCCAUCAAGUAUUAACUCUGGGGUUUGAAGACAUACGCAAUCAAUACAUUGUUUUUAAUUUAGAUUAUUAAUUUGGAAAAUGUUCUAUAACUUUCUUUCACUUUGAAAAUGUGGAGUAUGUUGUUAUAGAUUAUUAGAGAUUAAAACAAAGAAAAAAUUAUUUAAAGGCAGCAAAAUGGGAAGAUUACAAGGGGUGUGUAGACUUUCAAUAGCUACUGUAUGACCUGGUUCUUCUUAAGGUCUCCUCCAUAAUUUACUGUGGGUAGAAAUAGCAUACAUGCUGCACUACAGAGCCAUUCUCACCCAUCUCAACUAAGCAAAGACAUUACUGUUUGUUAACGUUCUCCUAACCUUUCCAGCUGACCUGUCUUGCCUUCUGGAGGUGACCCUGCAAACGGGCGGCAGGUAGCCUAGAGCGUUGGACUAGUAACCGAAGGGUUGCAAGAUCGAAUCCCUGAGCAGACAAGGAGCGGUGUCAGGUCCCAUCAUGAGAAGCACAUGCUGUCCGACACAAAUAGAACACACUACCAUGUCAGACUGGGGGAGUGAGCGCUUUCGGUCACCUCACUGUCAAAUCAACGCCCUGCUCAACCAAUCACUAAAUCGUGUGAUGCAAAACAGGAAGGGCUCAAGGCCCGGAUGAUGGAAUCACUAGCCAUCCUUUUUUGUAUUGUAGAAUUUGACCCAACACAGUGAUGAGGUCCUGUUAUGAGAAAGUGAGACUGACAACAGGUAAAUGACUAUGUGAGACUGAGACACUGGCCCGCUGUAAGUCUGUGGAGAGCAUCGGCUACAGUAAAUGACUAUGUGAGACUGAGACACUGGCCCGCUGUAAGUCUGUGGAGAGCAUCGGCUACAGUAAAUGACUAUGUGAGACUGAGACACUGGCCCGCUGUAAGUCUGUGGAGAGCAUCGGCUACAGUAAAUGACUAUGUGAGACUGAG